CAGUCGCCGCGGUAAUACAGAGGGUGCGAGCGUUAAUCGGAUUUACUGGGCGUAAAGCGUGCGUAGGCGGCUUUUUAAGUCGGAUGUGAAAUCCCUGAGCUUAACUUAGGAAUUGCAUUCGAUACUGGGAAGCUAGAGUAUGGGAGAGGAUGGUAAAAUUCCAGGUGUAGCGGUGAAAUGCGUAGAGAUCUGGAGGAAUACCGAUGGCGAAGGCAGCCAUCUGGCCUAAUACUGACGCUGAGGUACGAAAGCAUGGGGAGCAAACAGGAUUAGAUACCCGCGUAGUCCCUGUCUCUUAUAC
rnacentral:rRNA from 1 species